rnacentral:rRNA from 1 species
UACGGGGGGAGCAAGCGUUGUUCGGAUUUACUGGGCGUAAAGGGCGCGUAGGCGGUCAGCACAAGUCAGUUGUGAAAUCUCCGGGCUUAACUCGGAACGGUCAGAUGAUACUGCUUUGCUAGAGUGCGGAAGGGGCAAUCGGAAUUCCCGGUGUAGCGGUGAAAUGUGUAGAGAUCGGGAGGAACACCUGCGGCGAAGGCGGGUUGCUGGGCCGACACUGACGCUGAUGCGCGAAAGCCAGGGGAGCGAACGGG